rnacentral:rRNA from 1 species
UACGUGAGUGGCGAGCGUUAUCCGGAAUCACUGGGCGUAAAGCGUCCCUAGGGGGUGUGACAAGUACAAUGUUAAAUCUACUCGCUCAACGGGUAGGCUGCGUUGUAUACUGUCAUGCUUGAGGUAGACAGAGGUGAGCAGAAUUCCCGGAGUAGGGGUAAUAUCCGUAGAUACCGGGAGGAAUACCAAUAGCGAAGGCAGCUCACUGGGUCUCACCUGACCCUGAAUGACGAAAGCGUGGGGAGCGAACCGG